rnacentral:rRNA from 1 species
UACGUAGGGUGCGAGCGUUGUCCGGAAUUAUUGGGCGUAAAGGGCUCGUAGGCGGUCUGUUGCGUCAGGAGUGAAAACUCGGGGCUUAACCCCGAGCCUGCUUCUGAUACGGGCAGACUAGAGGUAUGCAGGGGAGAACGGAAUUCCUGGUGUAGCGGUGAAAUGCGCAGAUAUCAGGAGGAACACCAAUUGCGAAGGCAGCUCGCUGGGACGUAACUGACGCUGAUGCGCGAAAGCGUGGGGAGCAAACAGG